AGAGACUAAUGUUAAUUAAUAAUAACCUCUUCUCAAUUAAAAAAAGUUGGAUUUCACCAAUAUUGUAUUCAAGAGACAACCAUAAGUUGUGUCAAAAAAGAAAAAAGAAAUAAAGAGAUAGCAAAAAGCUAAUUGUAACACUUAAUGGUUAAUGGUUGGAUCUAUGGUUAAGUUAACAACUUAGCAUAUAAUUGAUUAGUCUUUCAAUGACUAAAAAUAGAUCCUGCAGCUACUAAUUCAUCAAUGAAACACAGAUUUUAAAGCUGCUACUUCAUCAAUCUUAUCAAUGACUAAAAAUAGUAAUUGACAACUUAGUAUAUACUAAUUGAUUAGUCUUUCAUACAUGAAUUUAUGUGAUUAGUCUUUUAUGUAGUGAACAUCUAAGUUGUCUUUGUCUGCUAUAAGCUUUGUAUCAUGGUUAUUAAUUUUUCUUUAGACAAACACAUUUUCAUAUAACUGAUUAUGUGUUAACUAUUUCUAUAACAAACAAUAAAGUAAAGUAAAACUAUUUUCAUAAUAAUAUAUCAAUUUUCAAAACUAUCAAAUCACAAUUUAGGGAUUUGAGAGAAAGAUGAAGUUAGGGUUUAGUGGUAUUCACAGACAGAGAAAACGAACGAUGGGUACACAGAGAGAGGGUUGCAGAGACUUACGAUGGUGAGCGGUGGCAGCUCGUCGGAAGAACAUCAACGGAUGCGAGUGGAACGUGAAAUUGCAGAGAAGGGGAAAGAUUUUUGUGGUCUUUAUCAAAGAGGGAAACAUGAUUUCAAGAAGGAGAAAGAUAUUUUUGAUGUAGAUCUACUCAAAUCGGAAUUUCUUUGUAAAGGUUGUAGAUGAAGUAGAUGAAUGAUGAAGCUUUGUCGUUGGAAGUAGAAGAACAUGUGAAAGUGAGAAGGAAGGGCAAAAUCGUAAUCACAUAAAGCUUUUCAAUUUUUUAAUUUUUCAAUAUCCA
rnacentral:lncRNA from 1 species